AGGACUAGAAGAGGGAAUUGGAUUCAUGAAACACACUUUCACAGGUCAUCCCUGCUGCGCAGGUUCAGGACGCAAAAAAGCUGCGGCCCCUGCAGGAGCGCUUCGGAGUCAGGUCUGCCCCAGCCAGGCCUCCACCUGCUCUUCCCAGAGAGUGCUGAGCCCUCCCCAAAGCCCUGCACAGCCCCUCCACCUGACGCUGCCAUCGCCAAGCCAAUCGACCCAGCUGAUUCAGAAGGGGAACUGGGCCUGAAGGUCCAAUGAGUCCGCAGGGCGCUACUGUGCUGAGCGAGCAGGCUCCGGCGAGCCCUGGGCUCUCACUCAACCUCCACCUGAUGCUUCAGACAUCAGAGCCUUUAUCUGCGGCACCCUGAGGAACACUGGGCACCAGGCCGCACUCCAGUUCAUCCGUCAGAACCGCCCUGCGGGCAGGUGGCCAAGGGAGCGAUCCACCUUCAGAGGCGCCUGCUGCUUCUGUGGCAUCCAGACUCCCGUCAGCGCCCUGCUCUCCGGUGGCAGUUCUCGUGACAUGCUGAGUGCCACCUCACCUGGCCUCUCCGCAGCGUCCCCCCGAGGACACAUUUGCACACCCAGUGUCCAGGUCGCUGCUCCCACUGCUCCUUGCUAUGCUUCCCUGAAACAUGCACGUAACUUCCACAGUCCUCUCUGGAGACCAAGCCCUGAACCUUUUCCUGAGAGAAGGUGACUCCCACGAGCCUCACUGCUUCUCCACUCUCUGACGCCCCAAGUCCCAAGCCUUGGCACACCGAGGGACUUUAUGACAUGUGACAAGCUUCUCUGAGGCUGUGAUCGACUCGAUCAGGGACUGGAUGGUGGCUGGCGGCCGGUGCACAGUGGGCCAGGCCGAGCGCAGGUAGACCCCACAUGGCAGGGCUGCCGGGUGACCUCUCAGGUGAAAGAGAAACCUGGGCCCCUCCCCACCAUGCCCUCCAGUCAGCGGCUCUGAUGACUCACCACAACAGACACCACCAAUCUCCCCACUCCCACAUUGGGGAGGUCGUAAGGAGAACCCCUCACCUCCCCGGGCAGGCCUGGCUAUUCAAGCUCCUUGGCAGUGCCUCCCGUGAGAACAAAACUCGCUGAAAUAAAUCAGGAGUU